AGUGAACGCUGGCGGUAGGCCUAACACAUGCAAGUCGAACGGCAGCACAGGAGAGCUUGCUCUCUGGGUGGCGAGUGGCGGACGGGUGAGGAAUACAUCGGAAUCUACUUUUUCGUGGGGGAUAACGUAGGGAAACUUACGCUAAUACCGCAUACGACCUACGGGUGAAAGCAGGGGAUCUUCGGACCUUGCGCGAUUGAAUGAGCCGAUGUCGGAUUAGCUAGUUGGCGGGGUAAAGGCCCACCAAGGCGACGAUCCGUAGCUGGUCUGAUAGGAUGAUCAGCCACACUGGAACUGAGACACGGUCCAGACUCCUACGGGAGGCAGCAGUGGGGAAUAUUGGACAAUGCGCGCAAGCCUGAUCCAGCCAUACCGCGUGAGUGAAGAAGGCCUUCGGGUUGUAAAGCCCUUUUGUUGGGAAAGAAAUCCAGCUGGUUAAUACCCGGUUGGGAUGACGGUACCCAAAGAAUAAGCACCGGCUAACUUCGUGCCAGCCGCCGCCGUAA
rnacentral:rRNA from 1 species